CGGCACGGGUGAGUAACACGUAUCCAACCUGCCGUCUACUCUUGGACAGCCUUCUGAAAGGAAGAUUAAUACAAGAUGGCAUCAUGAGUCCGCAUGUUCACAUGAUUAAAGGUAUUCCGGUAGACGAUGGGAUGCGUUCCAUUAGAUAGUAGGCGGGGUAACGGCCCACCUAGUCUUCGAUGGAUAGGGGUUCUGAGAGGAAGGUCCCCCACAUUGGAACUGAGACACGGUCCAA
rnacentral:rRNA from 1 species